GACGAACGCUGGCGGCGUGCUUAACACAUGCAAGUCGAACGGAAAGGCCCUGCUUUUGUUGGGUGCUCGAGUGGCUAACGGGUGAGUAACACGUGAGUAACCUGCCCUUGACUUUGGGAUAACUUCAGGAAACUGGGGCUAAUACCGGAUAGGAGCGCCUGCUGCAUGGGGGGGGUUGGAAAGUUUCGGCGGUUGGGGAUGGACUCGCGGCUUAUCAGCUUGUUGGUGGGGUAGUGGCUUACCAAGGCUUUGACGGGUAGCCGGCCUGAGAGGGUGACCGGCCACAUUGGGACUGAGAUACGGCCCAGCCUCAUACGGGAGGCAGCAGUGGGGAAUAUUGCACAAUGGGCGGAAGCCUGAUGCAGCAACGCCGCGUGCGGGAUGACGGCCUUCGGGUUGUAACCCGCUUUCGCCUGUGACGAAGCGUGAGUGACGGUAAUGGGUAAAGAAGCACCGGCUAACUACGUG
rnacentral:rRNA from 1 species